rnacentral:lncRNA from 1 species
GCUACACUUAGUGACUCUGAGGGACAUGCAACCCUCCCCGCAUGCUGCUGCUGCUGCUGCACCUACAAUCCUGCCACCCCCAAUGAGAUCUGCCCACCCCUCUUGGCCGCCUUCCCCACGCUCAGGUUUUCCUCACUCUUUCCCUGGGUUCCACGCGCCCGCGUAGCCCGAACUCCGACCCUGAGGCUCCGCGUCCCGGCCCCCAUCGCAGGGGCGCCUCUAGGAACCAGAAUCCCGCAGAUGACUGCACAGACAAGAUCGUGCCCCCAAGUUCGGCGAGCCGGGCGCCCACCGCGCCCCCAGCCCACGCCCCCGGAGUUCCUGCGCCACCCACAGCGGCCCUGAGCUUCAAUCUGCACUUUCAAAACUUCCCAGUUGCCUCCAGAGCCCUGCAGUUGAAGAUCUUGUCUAGCACAUGGUUUUGCUGUUUUCCUCACCCCGAACUCCCUCCUUGGAGGGCCAUCGUUCUCUGUCUCAGAUUCCACCCUCCUUAUCACACAACUAGAGCUUCGGAGGAACGUGAUGGGGCUCCCAACUAAGGAGGGAAAGACCAUCAUAGCUCAGGGAUGAGGCUCCGAGAUCCUCAGAUAACAUUAAUUGUCCUCUGUCUUCUCUUGACUUGGCACAUCCUUGCUUGGAGCAGGGCAGGAGCAGCUGAAAGGGAGGUGGCACCUGGAGGUCUCAGUCAUUUCACUUCUCUGAGCCUCAGUUUUCCCAUAUGCAAAGUGAAGAGGUACACUCCCUCAGGGUUUUGCAUCUUCUUAAUGGCAGAAACCUAGUCAAACAAAAUAUUAUGUAAAUGUUCACUAUAGGCAGGGCGAGGUGGCUCAAACCUGUAAUUCCAGCACUUUUAGAGGCCCAGGAGGCUCUUGAGGUCAGGAGUUCGAGACCAGCC